CCCGAAGUAUCCUGAAUCUUUCGCAUUGUUAAUCAUACAAAUGCAUAUAAUAAACACAAAAAUCAUCGAUUAAUAUGCUAUUAUAUAAUUCCGAAGAAUUAACGCACNNUAUAUAUGAUAAAUCUAUCAAUACUUUAUCAAAUCAAUAAAACAUUUAUUUUAUGUUAAAAUGCCNAAACAUAAUAAUUAGAAUAAACNAUAGCUNNNGAUUUUUUNAUAAAUAUUNNNCUAUAUUAAUAGAUUACAAUGUCCUUAUAUGGAAAAAANGCACACUAUAAUCAAUAAUAUUUUNAAAAUACUACAACUAUAAUGAUGAAUUUUCCAUAACGGAUAUUCAGGUUCAUCGGGC
rnacentral:rRNA from 1 species